ensembl:lncRNA
CCAAAAUGCAAAAAAAGAUAGCUGCUUUCAGAGCUGAAAAAGAAAGCACACAUCCCUUUCCUGAAGCUGACUCAUUUUCCUGUUCUCUCCCAGAAACAGGAAGACUUUUUCAAGACUUUACUACUUUGUAGUUCUGGAAAUCACUUGGAUCUGUGCAAUUUUCCUCCAGGCUCUUAUCCACAUUAUAUAUAUUUUAUAAAGAGUGAUGUGUGUAAUGCCAUCAGCCACAACGUCAUAGUCUUUCACAGGACAAAAGAAGACUAAAAAUGGAAAGAAAGAGAAGGGACAAGCCAGCCUAUCUAGAAAAUAUAGCCGCCAAGGAAAGCUGUGCCAGGGAAGAGGAACACACUGGUACCAAAGUCCAGUUCACAAUGGGUUCAUUCCUUCUGCCAUUUACACAAAGCCACAGCUGAUCAGACUGAAACAUUCCUCUUGCUGGCUCCUAUUCUUCCUUCAUUUUAUUAAUAACCUGGCAACAGGAUAGGGGCUAAGAAAAGAGACCUUCUAGAAUGGAGAAUUUACUGAAGAAACCAGAAGUGAAAGGUAGGUAUGGGAGUUUGAAGUCACAUUUAUUAGGUGACAUAGUUCCUUUAGAGAACGAGAAAAGGACUUUAGGCAUGAGCACAACCCAUCAGGAAAAUCCAUGGUGACCUGGGCAAAUUCAUGCAGCACGGAUGUUGUAGAACAGUUUUAUGGAAGUGUGACAUCUUAAAGUCAAAAUAUAUUUUUCUCUGAUUAUUUUUUGUAUUGAUGUGGGUUCUGUUUUGUUUUGCUUUUGUUUGUUUGACAUUGUUGCUGAUUUUUAAGUACCUGUCCUACAUGAUGAGAUCUUGCAGCUCAAUUAAAAAGGAAAUAAUUAUUUAAAGCAUUCUGUGGAAUGUGGAACAGGCCCUGGAAGCUCUAAUAGGCCUUCAUGGCCUUGAUCAGUCCCACCUUAGGACACUCCUAAACAGGGGACCAGAGCACAUUUAAGUACAGUUCUGCACCUUUAGUCUCUGCCAGAGCUCUGCUGUAGUAUGUAUUUGCUCUGCUUUCUCUCUAGUUCAUGUGCACUGGUUGUGGUCACUAAAGAAGAAUGUGUUGCUAUUGUUAUACAUUCUAAUAUCAUUACUGAAAGAUGUUUCAUUGACAUAAGUCCUUCUUACUUAAAGAACUUUUAGUACAGUUAAAUAAAAUACACAAGACAUGUAGGAUGAUUCAAAACAACAGAAUGGAUAAGAUAGCACAAAGUGUUCUGUUUCCCUUUGAAUUAUAGAAAUGCAAGUUGGAGAAGGGAAAAUUACUAAAACUUAAUUAUCAGGACAACAAAAUUUGCAGCUAAAUUUAACUGGUAGUUCUUUUAAAUACGAGUCUUGUCCAUGGGAAACCUGCAGACAUCUAGUUAAAAUUUGCUUAGUGCAAAUUUUUCCAGUUCCCACACUAAAACAGGGGGAACUGUUAAGAUUUUAACACUUCCAGUGAAGUGGCUACAAUGUUUGCCUAAAUGUUCUCCAGAAGUGGGUGAAUACACCCUUGGCCAGCUGCUUCAGAAACCGAAUCUGCUCCAAAAGGGAAAAAAAAUAAGGCUAUAGCACUUCUAGGGUGAAGUCCCUCUUGAAUUAAUCUACUGAAUAUUACAGAUAGCUGUAGUAUGAGUCACUCUAAACCUAAAGGGUCUGAUCCAG